UAAUGGGAGCUCACCAAAUCCAGCUAGACCGGUACUGAAUGAGCAUGCGAUCAAAUCGGACUGUCUGAAUGUGGCUGACCAUUGGGGGCUGACAGAGAAACCUUUGGAGAAGAAAAGCCAUGGACACCAUCAAGACUGAUAAGGAUUAAAUUAGAAUGAGAGAGACCUCCAGAUUAAGAGAUGUGAAAAUUUACCAAACACAUGGCCAUUCAACACAACCUAACUUAUAAGACCAACAAAUUUCUUUUAUUUAAUAAGAUAUAACCCAUCAUAAAGGAAACUCCCUAGAAUUAGAGAUGAAGCAGAGUUUUGAUUUUGUCCUUCCAGGAAAGUAAAAAUAUCCAACUAUUAAAUGAGAUAUUAAAAUAAGAAAGAUAAAUCACAAAGAGAAUAUUUUCCAAGAAAAAGAGUAAAUUGACCUAGUAGUAUAAUACAUUUUCACAACAAAAAAAAUUGAUAAAUCUUCUCAGUUGUUGCUUCUGCUGGUAUCUACAGUUGUGUGAGGAAAAUGGACUACUUUUAUACACAAUUGAAAUAAAAUUUAAAGCUGGU